AGAACGAACGCUGGCGGCAUGCCUAACACAUGCAAGUCGAACGAGACCUUCGGGUCUAGUGGCGCACGGGUGCGUAACGCGUGGGAAUCUGCCCUUGGGUUCGGAAUAACAGCGAGAAAUUGCUGCUAAUACCGGAUGAUGACGUAAGUCCAAAGAUUUAUCGCCCAAGGAUGAGCCCGCGUAGGAUUAGCUUGUUGGUGAGGUAAGAGCUCACCAAGGCGACGAUCCUUAGCUGGUCUGAGAGGAUGAUCAGCCACACUGGGACUGAGACACGGCCCAGACUCCUACGGGAGGCAGCAGUGGGGAAUAUUGGACAAUGGGCGAAAGCCUGAUCCAGCAAUGCCGCGUGAGUGAUGAAGGCCUUAGGGUUGUAAAGCUCUUUUACCCGGAUGAUAAUGACAGUACCGGAGAAUAAGCUCCGGCUAACUCCGCGCCAGCAGCCGC
rnacentral:rRNA from 1 species